GCGCAGCAGUCGCGAAUUUUUCACAAUGGACGAAAGUCUGAUGGAGCGACGCCGCGUGGAGGAUGAAGGUUCUUGGAUUGUAAACUCCUGUCACUGCAGAACAAGGGUGCGCUCGUUAAUAGCAAGCGCAUUUGAUGGUAUGCGGAGAGGAAGGGACGGCUAACUCUGUGCCAGCAGCCGCGGUAAGACAGAGGUCCCGAGCGUUGUUCGGAUCCAUUGGGCGUAAAGGGUGUGUAGGAGGUCGGGUAAGUCAGGUGUGAAAUCUCAGAGCUUAACUCUGAAACUGCGCUUGAUACUGCUCGGCUAGAGGAUCGGAGGGGGUAACGGAAUUUAUGGUGUAGCAGUGAAAUGCGUAGAUAUCAUAAGGAACACCGGUGGCGAAGGCGGUUACCUGGAAGAUUCCUGACUCUGAAACACGAAAGCCAGGGGAG
rnacentral:rRNA from 1 species